rnacentral:rRNA from 1 species
AUACGUAAGUGACAAGCGUUAUCCGGAUUUACUGGGUGUAAAGGGCGUGUAGGCGGUUUAGCAAGUCAGAAGUGAAAUUCCCGGGCUUAACUUGGGCGCUGCUUCUGAAACUGCUUUACUUGAGUGCUGGAGAGGAUAGUGGAAUUCCUAGUGUAGCGGUAAAAUGCGCAGAUAUUAGGAGGAACACCGGUGGCGAAGGCGGCUAUCUGGACAGUAACUGACGCUGAGGCGCGAAAGCACGGGGAGCAAACAGGAUUAGAUACCCUGGUAGUCCGUGCCGUAAACGAUGAAUACUAGGUGUAGGGGGUAUCGACUCCCUCUGUGCCGCAGUUAACACAUUAAGUAUUCCACCUGGGGAGUACGGCCGCAAGGUUGAAACUCAAAUGAAUUGACGGGG